AGGUGCUGCUGGUGAAGGAGGAGGGGUGUGAGCAGGGUCUGAGGAACCCUGAGGGGACCAUUGUCAUGGAAGACAACCAGACUACACCUCCUCCUGAACCCCUAGCUGAACAGCACAGGACCACACACAUUCUCACUGAGAGCUGGGAACCCACAGAGGUCCAGACCAAGGGAUUAAAGCCAGACAGGGCCGCUGCCAACCUCCUCAUCUACAAACUAAGGAUCAAUUUUCGAGUGAGUAAAAUUACAGUUUGAAUGUCAGAUUGUUAUUGAACCAAUCCUGCUACAGAAGCAGUAUUGUUAUAGCCUGGGUGCCAGUCUGUUUCAGCUUUCUGCCCACAACCUUAUUGGAUUGUUAUGCAAAUACCACAUUGCCACGAUGGAAUUGGCAAGAGAGUAGAAACAGACCGGUACUCAGACUAUUGAUAGGCCUACAUUAUUACCUGAACAAGGACUGGGUCCUCCUGGUCCAGGGUGGGCUCAUGAUCUUUAUGAAUAAACAAUAAAGGAUCAUUUUCUCUAAGUUUAAGAAAUACUGCAAGACACCAGACAUCUGUCCAUGUAGUUAGGCUGAUCUUAUAUUUUAUUUGUAUUUUAUAUUGUGUGAUAUCACAUUGUAUUUAUGUGUCUGCAUAAUGUACCAAUAUGUUCAAUUAAACCUAAAGCAAAGGUUUGGUUUCA